CAUAGCGACUAUCGUGGCAUAUCAAUAAGCGGAGGAAAAGAAACUAACAAGGAUUCCCUUAGUAACGGCGAGUGAAGCGGGAAGAGCUCAAAUUUGAAAUCUUCAAGGGUUCUACCUUUACGAAUUGUAGUUUAUAAGAAGUGUUUUCUGUUAGUAGAGUGGCUAAAAGUUCUUUGGAAUAGGACAUCAUAGAGGGUGAGAAUCCCGUAUUUGGUCAUUCCUUCCUAGCGUUGUGAUACACUUUCAACGAGUCGGAUUGUUUGGGAAUGCAGUCCAAAAUGGGUGGUAAAUUUCAUCUAAAGCUAAAUAUUGGCGAGAGACCGAUAGCGAACAAGUACCGUGAGGGAAAGAUGAAAAGAACUUUGAAAAGAGAGUUAAACAGUACGUGAAAUUGUCAAAAGGGAAGCGUUUGACACCAGUGUUGUUUUUCCGAAAAUCAAUUACGAAUGUUUUGUUUUUGAGAAGUUAUGACUUCAUCGGCUUGCUUCUCUCUUUAUGAAACUUUCUUAAUGCACUUUUCGGUUAACAAGUCAACAUCAAUUUCUUUUGUUGUAAAAGGGUAUGAGGAAGGUGGCUUUCUUUUCGGAGAAAGUGUUUAUAGCCUUGUACCUCUGCAAUCGGAGAGAUUGAGGUACAUGCAGCGUAGACUCCUUCGGGGUUAGAUACACUUGUGCUAAGUUAUAGCCUUGUAUAGACAACUUGUUGACUAUGCUCAGUCAUGUAGCUUACUCGCUUAUGCUAUUUUACCUACGCUUAGGAUGUUGAUAUGCAUGACUGAUAU
rnacentral:rRNA from 1 species